rnacentral:rRNA from 1 species
GAAUGACGUGUAGGUGAAAGCUUACAUCUCUUCGGAGCAUUUUACGAGGUGCUGCAUGGUUGUCGUCAGCUCGUGCCGUGAGGUGUUCGGGUUAAGUCCCGUAACGAGCGCAACCCUUGUCCUUAGUUACCAGCACGUUAUGGUGGGCACUCUAAGGAGACUGCCGGUGACAAACCGGAGGAAGGUGGGGAUGACGUCAAGUCAUCAUGGCCCUUACGGCCUGGGCUACACACGUGCUACAAUGGUCGGUACAAAGGGUUGCCAAGCCGCGAGGUGGAGCUAAUCCCAUAAAACCGAUCGUAGUCCGGAUCGCAGUCUGCAACUCGACUGCGUGAAGUUGGAAUCGCUAGUAAUCGUGAAUCAGAAUGUCACGGUGAAUACGUUCCCGGGCCUU